UACGUAGGGCGCAAGCGUUGUCCGGAAUUAUUGGGCGUAAAGAGCUCGUAGGCGGCCUGUUGCGUCCGCUGUGAAAACCCGGGGCUUAACCCCGGGCUUGCAGUGGAUACGGGCAGGCUGGAGGCAGGCAGGGGAGAACGGAAUUCCCGGUGUAGCGGUGAAAUGCGCAGAUAUCGGGAGGAACACCGGUGGCGAAGGCGGUUCUCUGGGCCUGCACUGACGCUCAUGCACGAAAGCGUGGGGAGCAAACAGG
rnacentral:rRNA from 1 species